UUAGCUAGUUGGUGUGGUAAUGGCCCACCAAGGCGACGAUCAGUAGCUGGUUUGAGAGGAUGAUCAGCCACACUGGGACUGAGACACGGCCCAGACUCCUACGGGAGGCAGCAGUGGGGAAUUUUCCGCAAUGGGCGAAAGCCUGACGGAGCANCGCCGCGUGAGGGAUGAAGGCCUCUGGGCUGUAAACCUCUUUUCUCAAGGAAGAAGAUCUGANCGGUACUUGAGGAAUAAGCCUCGGCUAAUUCCCGUGCCAGCAGCCGCGGUAAUACCGAGNUGCAAA
rnacentral:rRNA from 1 species